CAGCAACAUCUGCCACCGCGCAGAACGCGCCUCGCCCGCGGUACGUACCUGGCAAAGUGCGCGCCGGAGGCUGAGUUGCAUAGAGACUUUCUCCUUGCCGUGCACCCGGAAAAGGAAAAGGCGAGAAAGCAGCUCGCGAGCCGCCGGAUCCGACACGCCGCCGAGGGAGCAUAAAUAAAGCUCAAGCGAGCUCUUCCUCCCCUUCCCCCAUCCCUCCGAGCCGUCCCUCCUCCUUUUCACCUUCCAAAAGCCAGGCGCCGGCGAGCCGAGUGACAGCAACAAGUUCAAAAGGGCUCCUCUCGCUCCACCCCAGCCACCCACCAGCCCCGGCGCAAAAUGUCACCAAGGGAGAGCAUCCAGGUGGUUCGGCCCGGGAGGAGAGCGAGCCUCGGAGGAACAAAGGGAAGCUUCACGCUCUCGGCUGCGGUGGUUUGGUGCAGGCGAGGAGCGAGGGAACUGGUGCCUUGCUUCUGCCUCCCGAGUCCGGGUUCAAGGCGAGCGUGGGAAAGGGGGGCAAAAAACCAAACAAAUGAAAAGACUCGAGAAGCUGGGAAGGAGGGUGAGCGGAGCGGAAAGCGCAGGAAUUGGUUGUCUUCUGGGGGCGACUAGAUCGCAAGACCCGCAAAGCUCCGCGGCGGAAUUUUUAAGUGCUUUUUUCCUUUCUUUCUUUUUAAAAAAAAAUUUUUUUCCAAGACAGAUGUUAACGUUGCUGGGGUGACUAUGACAUCUGUCUAACUUGAUAAGAAGUCAAGCAGUCUCCUCUGUCCAGGUCUUGUCACAACUCCUUUUCCUGUCCUUUGCGAAUGACAGGAGAAUUUAGAACCCUAUUCUAAAUGUCAGCGUCAAGGGGCGUGCGUCUCGGAGAGUGUGGGUACCUUUCAUCCUCUCUGCUCAUCUCAACGCAUAUCUAAAAUGCUGAAAAUAGGUAAAGGUGUCCGUGUGAGGGGUAAGUGAGGUGGAGAGAGGGUCUGGAAAAUUGUCACGGCUAACCGUUUUGUAUGUCGUGUAUACCCCCCCCCCCCCAUUAGGAAUUGUCUUUAAAAACCAAGCAUAUGACAUUUAAAACCACUAGAUGGCGUGGAUGGCGAGAAGUUCGAUUUAAACCAAAGGUUUGACUCUUGAAAAGGUGAAGGAUCAAAAAAUUAACUGAUUCAACAGAAAAUCCGAUCACAUAAACAUUCUUAAAACCCUUGCUGCCACUUCUUUAGAGUUUAUAUGAAAUGUACUAUGCAGUGUUGAAUCUGCAUUUUGAUGGAUGUGAAAUCUGAUGUGAAGUUUCCUGUUAAAAAUGCCUUUGAAAAUUAAAUCUAGAUUACUGAAUCAGCAGCAGCAUGCAUCAUAAUUAAUACUUUUGGAAAAAGUAAGGCUAGAUCUAUGUUGUUUGAGAAUAUAAACCUGGUUUAAUUUUCAGUGUCUUAGUUUGACUGUCCUUGAUUUGUAAAGUGGACUCUGCACUGUAUAGAAAUUAACUUUCAAGCCCUAGUGUUCAGAGACAUGAUGUGUCCACCUCAAAAUUUGUAAAUGAGAUACCUUAAACAAAAGAUAGGAACUGAAAAAUAUAGUGCAUAGAAAAAUAGAUAAGGAGAAAAAAAUAACCCUGUUAAUGUACAGAGAUGAAGAAAGGUAGCUUGGGGGUUUUGUUUUUUGCUUAUAGGUGUAGAUGUUUAGGAAACCUAGUGUAGGUUAAUGAAGUUGGAUCUAAUGCUCUAUUAGUUUGAGGACACAGAACUAAAGACACCUUAACAAAUCUAUGCAGCCUAUAUACCUGGAAAGAAAUGUACAAACACGCUAACUGGAAAAUAGAAAGGAGGGAAUUACCUCUCAAAUAAUAUAAUAAAAUGAACCCAUUCCUAAUCCAGAGAAGUAGGUGACACAUGGCAGGGGCUGAGCAUGGCAACUAGAGAACAGAGAUCCACUAAUACUGAAUUGCAUGCUACCCUAUGAAGAUGGGUCAAGCAGCCUAGAGCCUAAAAUUCCCUUCUAGUACUUAAAAAUAUAAAAGUAGAAGUUAAACUCCACAAAAUUCCCAAAUAACAAAGGACAGAAUAUCUACAGUUUCACAAAGGUUAUCUACCUUCCUGCCAUCCUGACAAGCUGCUUGUUAUGGUAGAAAGAUGUGUGCCUAGAACCUACACACAUCUAAAUUCAAAUUCUACUCCCCCCCCAAAUUAUUGUCUUUCUUCAUUUAGAAAAUAAAGUCUAUGACUGGAAAUCGUAGAUAAUGAAAUAAAACUGUUUUAGGCCUUUUGUAUGGAUUAAACAUGAUUCUUCUGAAUGCUGAUGUAGUACUUAGCACACUGAAGGUACUCAAUAUUAAUUCCUUUUUUGCUUUAAUGCAUAAUGCUAAUACAAUUCAUUUUAUCUGGCUGGCACAUGGAAUUCUGACAGAUAUUUACAUAUAUUUUCUCUUGCCUCUGAAUUUAAAAAAUUCCCUUGUCCUGAUUUGCACACGAAUGUAGUAUUUUAAUAUUCAUUCAUGCUUUGAAAUAUUAUGUACAGAUUAGAUAUCCAAAAUCCAGCAGAACAUUGUAUAUGCCUCCCGUGCCCAAAGAUUUCUACUCUCUUCUUUUGGAUUCUCAUUUUAUAUGCUCUGCCUGGUUGAUUGCAUGGAGAACAAACUCAGCAAGAUCAAAAUUGAAUUCGUCACUCUUGUUCUCCAUUAAUUACCCCUCCUCUUUUAUCUUCUGCUCAGCGAAGUCCAAGAAAGAAAUCUGGUGGUCAUUUUGUUGUUCACUACUUCCCCCAAGCAAACAAAUACACUUAUCCAAGGACCCUCGUUACCAAUCUAUCUUUACACUGUACCGGUAGUGAUUUUUCUAAAUACUAUUUUGAAGUAAUUAUAGAUUCACAUGGAGUUUGUGAGAAAUAAUAGAUUCUUUCUAUCUAUCAUCUAGUUUCCCCUAAAAGUAACAUUUUGCAUAUUUUAAGUGUGAAAUCGCAACCAGGAAGUUGACACUGAUGCUCUCUCAGUCCAUAUUUGCCAUCAGUAUAUAUCCUCAGUAAAAUGUGUGUUCCUUGUCUUUUGGAACUUUUUAAACUUCUGUGACAAAAUACCAAAAACUGAGUGGCUUUUAAACAACAGAGUAUUUGUUUCUCACAACCUGCAGGCUGAGAAAUCCAAAAUCAAAGGGACAGCAGCAUCAGUGUUUCGUGGGGACUUGCUUUCUGGUUCAGAGAUGGCACCUUCUAGCACCUUCACACAUUCAAGAAUGGGAAGGCAGCUCUCUGGAGUAUCUUUUAUAAGGGCACUGACCCCAGUCAUGGAGGUGCUGAUCUAAUCAACCCUCAGGACCUAACCACCCUCCAAACGAUGACACCCCUAAUAUUGUCACACCUUCCAGAGGUCACACUCCUAAUAUUGUCACAUUGGUGACUAAAUGUUGUCGUAUGAACAAGUGUAUAGACAGGAACAUUCAGAC
ensembl:lncRNA